UACGUAGGAUGCGAGCGUUAAUCGGAAUUACUGGGCGUAAAGCGUGCGCAGGCGGUUUGCUAAGACCGAUGUGAAAUCCCCGGGCUUAACCUGGGAACUGCAUUGGUGACUGGCAGGCUAGAGUAUGGCAGAGGGGGGUAGAAUUCCACGUGUAGCAGUGAAAUGCGUAGAGAUCGGGAGGAACACCUGUGGCGAAGGCGGCCCCCUGGGCCGGCCCUGACACUGAGACGCGAAGGCGUGGGGAGCGAACGGG
rnacentral:rRNA from 1 species